UACGGAGGGUGCAAGCGUUGUUCGGAUUUACUGGGCGUAAAGAGUGUGUAGGCGGUUCUCUCAGUUCGGUGUGAAAUCUCCCGGCUCAACUGGGAGGGUGCGCCGAAAACUGGAGUGCUGGAGCGCGGGAGAGGAAAGCGGAAUUCCUGGUGUAGCGGUGAAAUGCGUAGAUAUCAGGAGGAACACCGGCGGUGUAGACGGCUUUCUGGACCGUAGCUGACGCUGAGACACGAAAGCGUGGGUAGCAAACAGG
rnacentral:rRNA from 1 species